rnacentral:rRNA from 1 species
UACGUAGGGGGCAAGCGUUAUCCGGAUUUACUGGGUGUAAAGGGAGCGUAGACGGCAGAGCAAGUCUGAAGUGAAAGCCCGCGGCCCAACUGCGGGACUGCUUUGGAAACUGCCCGGCUAGAGUGCUGGAGAGGUAAGCGGAAUUCCUAGCGUAGCGGUGAAAUGCGUAGAUAUUAGGAGGAACACCAGUGGCGAAGGCGGCUUACUGGACAGUAACUGACGUUGAGGCUCGAAAGCGUGGGGAGCAAACAGG